UGGCAUCAGUAAUCAAAUAUACAUAUUUCAUUUUUAACAUGAAUCUUAGUGGUCUUCAUUACUUAUAUAUGUACACAAGUAUAAGACUCUUGACUGUCAGCGGAGUGACCGUGGGUGAAGGUACAGCUACUGAGAUGCCAAGUACCUACCAAGAAGGCGAGCGUAUGUGUGUGACUCAAUCUAGGUCCCAACUUGCCUUCGAAUCUGAAAACAUGAAGUUUAAAAACGUAAGUAUAAAACUCAAUGAGUGAACAUAUGAAGGGAACAAGCAAUCAAUAGGAAGAAUUUGGAAAUCAUGAUGCACUUGUUUCAAAAAAAUUACAAUUUAUUUAGUUUCUUACUAAAAACCCCUCAUUUCAAACUUUGAUUAAUAACUUCAUAGUGUUGCAAAAACCCAAGAUCAAUCCAUGAAGUUAAAUGGGUGAAACAAAUGUCAAAAUCAAGCAUGGUAGCAAGUUUCUCGCUGCAGCAAAGUUCAUUCUCGCUGCAGCGAAGUUCAUUCUCGUUGCAGUGAGAUUUAGGCUACCAAAACAGAAAGUUUCUCGCUGCAGUGAGAAAUAGUGUUAGUUUGCAUAUGUUUCAGUUUUUCUAUCAUAUCCCCUGUUACAGAAGUUCAAUUGACUUGAUUUUUAAACCAUUAGAAAGCGAAGAAACAAGGAUACAACUUUUAUGUUUACCACUUUUCCCAGUUCAAACGAGAAUAUUGUCAAAAUCUUCAUCAAAGUGAAAAUACUGCAUCAAAACCUGAGAGUUUCUCGCUACAACGAGAUUUAUUCUCAUUGCAGCGAGUUAUUGGCUGCCAAAAUAGAAUAUUUCUUGCUGCAGCGAGAAGUAGGGCACCUAAGUGUAAAAAAGACCUCCUUUGCACUAAAAAUCCAUUUGCUGUUGCAAUAAAUAUCAUUUUGCAAGAAAAUGGGAAAUUCUCAAGAUUCAUCAUGCCAAAUUUCACAUGCAUUACAACCAUAUACCAUAUUCAUGAACUUCUAUUUCACAAACAUAUAUAUACUUAUAUACAUAAAUAAACACCAAUACCACUAUCAUCUCACCCAACUCAUGUGCAUCCCCCCACAUCGUGCACAUAGCCAGAGUCAUCAUGUGCAUCCCCCUACAUCGUGCACAGUCAGUGCCAUCAUGUACAUCCCCCCACAUCGUGCACACAGGCACUAUCAUCAUCCAUCUCCUUCACCACAGUCAUCACCGGCAUGUUCAUCCCCCCACAUCGUGCACACGCACGGUUAUAAUUAUCACACAAUAUCAACUAUCAAUGCACAACAUAUAUAUAUAUGUAUAUAUAUAUCAACACAAUGUAGUAGUGCAUGAAUCCAUAACAGCCACAUGUCACAAUAUAAAGAUAAUUUAUCAAGGGAUUGUUCCCAAGGCACACAUUUUUAAGAAAAGUUGGAUAAAAUCAAUCAAUGUUUUGUGCAAAUAGUUUCACAUUCCCAAAACAGUUUUAAAAUGCAAGUUCACUCACCGAUAUUUGUUGAAUCCUUAAUUGACUCUAACUUUUAUUAUUGCUUCAAAUGGACAUGUGAGGCCUCAUUGGAACCUAUUUUCACACACAACAUCACAACCAACCCAAAUUUGCAUUAAUAUAAUUCCAAAAGCUAUUUCCUAAAUCAAGUUCCACUAGUUAUUCCUAACUAGCUUCCAAUUUCCAUUAAAUGGCUAUCUAUUCUUUCUACUCUAGUAACUCUAGAAAUAAAUAAACAAACCUCACUAAAUAAACAACUCACAACUCCAAUUACUAGCCAUUAUCAACAACCUAAAAUCAAUCCUCAUUCAUUACUAAUCUUGGUAUAUUUGUAGUUGAAUUCCUUCUUAAGAAUACUCAAGCUAUCAUGGAAAAUCUCUCUCUCUCUCUCUCUCUCUCUCUCUCUCUUUAAAUUUUCAACUAGUGAGAGAAAGUGCUAAAUAAAGACUUUUUAAGGGUUUUAAGGUGAGAGAGUGAAAAAGAACAAAAGGUUCUAUGAAGAAGUGCUCAAAAGCAUGAAAAUUGAAGGUAGAGAGAGAAAGUUAUGGAAGCUUUAUGGGAGGCUCCUAUGGAGAUGAAGAAACGUGAGAUGGGAAGGAAGAAGAAAUGGCUAGAAGCUGUUGGAAAUUGCUAGAGCUUUAGAUAUUUAUAUCUAAAGUUUAUCCAUUUCUCACUUAAAUUACCAAAAUGCCUUUAACAUGGUGACUUUGUCUUCCUCUCAUCCUUUGUGCAACCUUUUACUCUUUUGACACUAGGGCAAGGUCUAUAAUAGUCUAGAAAUACUCAAGUUCAUGAAAACAUAAAAAUUUAGACCCCAAGAUGCAAAAUGACCAUUUUACCCCUAUCAUGAAAAUUAUCAUUAUUUUUAUCUUCUUCAUUUAUUUACCAUCAUAAACAUCAUUUAUUCAUUCCUUAGGCUUAUUUGGAUCUUAAUAGCAUAAAAAAAAAGCCACUCAUAGGAGCUCAUCAAGAGAAAUCAUGAAAUUACCCUUGGUCUGCAUUAUUGCGUCUACUUCUAGUUACAUGUCUAUAGAGGUCGAGAUUUCACAAGUUCACUUCUGAAUUACCCUUUUAACUAUGUACUUAACCUCAAUUGGCAUCCGUAAACUUUGUUAGCCACCAUAUCAAAAUACGGGGUACUAUAGUCUCCCCCACUCAAAAUGAAUUCGUCCUCGAAUUCAAAUCGGCGUAGGGUGAAUAAUCAAAGUUCUAAAGUUCUACAACAUCACUUUCGUCGAGGAUUCUUAACAUAGAUCCUUGGUUUAUGCAUCAUAUUGAUUUUCAAUCUUAUAGAAAACACGACAAUGUCAUAGUAUAUAGUUAUGUGUACUACUCUUGUUGGAUCGAAAUAAUAUCGUUCUUUAUCUUAUGAAGAGAAUUCAAAUAUGCUAUUAAUUCUGGUCACACCUCAAUCAAAUCAUCUUUAAAUCAUCAGUCAUGCAUGUUUACCUAACCAUCCACAAUUCCUCUACCUUGAUCUUUUAUCAAACCUUCCAACACUCUAGCAUUUAUUCCACCAUUAACUAUGGGUUUAAAUGGUCAACCAACCUCUAUUCCGUUUUACAUACCUCCAUACAAAUUCCAUUCAAGCAUUUCAUAAUACAUAAGGAUCAAACACUCUUUAUUUAUUCAUAUAUAUUUAACAUCACGGAUGAUUCAAAUCCGGUAACCAUUAGUAACCAUAUUCCCAAAAACAAACUUCAAUACUUUCAUGAUCGAGUGCUCCCUAGAUAAAUCUCAACUUAUACCACAAGGCAUUUCAAUAAAUUAUGACAUUCCACAUACCCCCUUAUAAUCUUAACCAAUCUCUUUAAUCAAUAAGUCAACCUCUCAAGAUUAAAGUUGCUCAAAAUUUUCCCUUUAAAGUUCCUUUCCAAGUCUCAUUCUGAUUACUAAUCAUUUCUACAUUUCCGAUGUCAUAGCUAAUUUGCUCGUCAUCAAUCACCCACAACAUAUCUAACUUGAUAUUUCUAAAAUUUACUCCAAACAUCAGAUCUCAUGGCCUCAUUAGUUCAUCAAUCUGAAGAUCAAAUUAAACAUUUAUCUCUCCUUAAGUGCACUUUAAAAUUUAAGAAUUAUCUAGUAAGACCUUUCUGAUAUUAACUUAUUUUGUCCUUUUUACCUUAGAAAAUUAAAUCCAUAAUCAUUCAUUUUGAAUCAUGAGCUUUAUACCAAUCAACGCAGAUUUUAACACUUUUAAUUAUACGAAUUCAAAUGCACACCUUUACACAUAAGUUAUAGACUUUUUUCCCACAUCUUUAUAUAUCAAAAGUAUAUAUAUUGAAGCUAUACCAAAACUGAUACAUCAUUUUCCAUUGCCCCUUAGGAUAUUAAAUUCAUGUCAUACUUCUCUAUUUGUGUACUUCAUAAUAACCUAACAAUUUCUAGCUCACAGUUAAGCUAGUUUAUAUGCCAAGCCUCUCAGGCUAUAUUAAAACACCAAAUUUUGUCACGAUAUAAUAGAAUUUGAUGAACUCAUACCAAAAGUAUAAACACUUACUUUUAAGGUAACAGCAUUAUAGUCCACUUGUUCACUGCCAAAAUUAGUGAUAAAUUAUCUUAAUCAUUGUCUAGCUCAUAACCAUUGAUAGAAUGUCAUCAUCAAAUCAAAUUAUAACUAACUCUGCAUGAGCUUUUAUACCAAUAUGCAACAUAUAUAUCCAUACAUAUAUAUUUCCAAAAAUUUUAACUUCAAAUAGCCUUAGGCAUAUCAAGCUCAAUAAGCCGUCUGUAAAACCAAAAUAACCAACAAUCAAGUUUAAAAUCAUUUUUUCUCUUUGUUGGUUAGAUCAUGCUCAUCAUUUGUGGUGAAUACACAAAGUUGAUUUCAAUAUUCCAUUCUCAUACAAGAGUCAACCACUAAUUGGCACAAUCUCCAAACACCACGUGUUUUAUAAGUCGAUUUUCUUAGUCAAAAUUCAUAUUGUAGUAUUCCAACUUUAGGUCAUGUCUCAUUACCGAAUCUUUACUCGUAUACGAGUACUCGAAUUCUCAAAUCAUCAUCUAUUUUCUAAGUAGAUCUCUGCCAUUCCCGUAGCUUAUUUGUAAAACCCGACCCUAUAAAUACAUGUCAUGACAUACAUGCAUUGAGUAGCAUGUUAUUACGCUAGAAAAGCACCUAAGAAUAGACGAAACCUGAUAUUGUACUUAACGGUACACUUAAAUUGAUUUAACCUCGAAGUAGUUCAAAUAGGAAUUGUAGGAUGAAAUUUAAUAUUUUAUAGUCCAGGAAUGACUAAAAAUGAUUGUUCGGAGUUCGAGGGUUCAUUUGGGGUAAAAUUAGAAAUUUUGAUAUUCAAGGGCAAAAUCGUCAUUUUGCCACCUAAGAUAAUAAUUUGAUCAUGGAGUGAAAUUUUUGACCAAGAUUAACUAUUUGGAGUAUAAUUUAAUGAUAGGAAGUGAAAAAGUUUAAUUCUGGUGAUUUUUGGAGUGUAGGGGCAAAAUCGUAAUUUUGCCACCCACGGACAAAAUUUGAGAUUUUGAGAGAAUUUAGAUCAAAUUUGACAAAUUGGAGAAUGGUAUGAGUAUAAGGGAUGAAAAAUAUGUCUAUGGGCAAUUUUUCAAUUUUUGGGGCAAAAAUGUAAUUUUUGACUUUUACGGGGGCAAAAGUGUAAAUUUCAAAAAUUACUCCACCGAGACUUUGGAUGAGUCUGAGAAUUUUAUCUAAGCUAUGAAUAUAUGAGACAAGUGUAUGGUGAAAAUUUGGAAACAAAUGGAUGAAAUUUUAAAAAUGGGCCAAUGGGAAAGUGACAUGUGGCAUUUUUUAAUGAAAUAAUAUUAUUUUAAUGAAAAGUCAGCCCAUUUAAACCCAAAUUUUGAGUGCUGGCCGGCCAUAAGGAAGAACAAGAGAGGAAAUAGAGAGGAAAGGAAGAAAAAAAGAAAAACCAAAGAGAAACAAGAAAAUUCAAAGGGAAAUUCGCGGUUUUCGACCGUUUACGCGUCUAACGGUAAGAUUUUUCGAUUUUAGCUUGAUUUCUACCUUUCCUAUGCCUUUAUUUCCAUUUAGCAUGCUUGAGGAGAGAGAUCAAAAAGUGAUAUCAAGGGCUGGACGAAAUUCUAGGGGAGAGAAAUUGAAAUUUUUAGGUUUUGAUUUUUAGUUAAAUUGAUAGUUUUAGUUAGUUAAAUGUGUUUAGAAAUUAAAUUGGGCAAGAAAUCAUUAAAUUUUCACAAUACCCACUCUUGGCUGGAUGCUCAAUGCUGUACAAUGAUGAUGAAUUGAUUUUAUUCUAAGGAAAAUGAAGAGAAAAUGAUGAAAAACGAUUAAACGUGAUAGAAAAACAAAGUAGAAAAUUAACCGAGUUAAUGUCCCAUUUUUGGCCGAAUUUUCCAAGGAAGGGAGUGAGCUGAUUUUGUUGUUUUUAGAAGGUUAUUGGCUGAUAUUUAAUGGUUAGAAAUGUUGGAGAGAGAAUGGGAUGAUUUAGAGCUAAAAUGGAGCGCGUUAGCAAUUUAUCGGGCAAAGUGCCAAAAAUAGGUUAAUACCGCGUUUAAGCCGUUUUAGGCUAUUGCAUUUCAUACCAUGCAUUAGUAUAGGAUUUAAGUUAAUUAUAUAGUGAUUUAGCAUCAAUGUGAUGAAUUGUGUAAAUUUUUGUAAUGUGUCUAGGAGGAGAGCCUUCCGGAAAAGGCAAAGAAGUCGUACCCGACGAGUAGUGAUCGGGGCGCUUAGAAAGCUUUUAGUUUGUACAAACGGUGAGUAAACUUAUUAUUAUUGUAAAUUAUCUAGAGUUUAUUUUUAAAUGCCCUUUAUGUAUUUUAUGAAAUGAAAACGAGAUUAAAACGGGAUUUUUGAUGUUUUAGGAAUAAAUGUGACAAAUAAAAAUAUAUUGUAUUGAUUAUGAAAUUGAGUAAUUGGAGGCUGCAAAUUGACUUGAAAAAUAUAUAUUUUCCUAGGAAUGGCUUAUGAGAAAUGAGUAUAUGUGGCUAUAUUUUGUGAGUGCAUUGGGAAAUUUAUGUAAGUUGUUUUUACUAUGCAGGCUGGAUAAAUAAAUAAAAGCCACGUUAUACUGUCGAAAUUUUAUUAAAAUUGGUGGGUUAGUCACUGCAGUGACGGGUUUCCGUGGACUGCCUAUUAGAGGGGCACGGUAAACCCAGUUAUAUAGUUACUCCGGUUGUAGAGGCGAGGAGGGUAACUCCUGGGGUAGUAUUAGAGCUCACUUCACGUCGAACCCCCACGUGAAUGUGUAACUCGGCCAACGCCAAGGAACGGCUGGUUUUAAAAAUAAAAAUGUGUUUCACGUGUGAAUAUUUUAACACCCUUGGCGGACUCGGUUAGAUGCCUCGGCCAAGGUAUCCCCGAGGAUUAGUUUUGGCUUGAGCCUUGUUUUAAUAAAAGACAUAAGCCUUAACAACUGUUUUGGUAAAUUACAAAUAUUUUAUGGUUUAAGAAAUAAAUUGAAAACAUUAUGAAAUGGGUUGAAAUUUGUUGUUUAAACUUGCCUCCAUUUUACUCGCCUUUAGAUAUUUAUGAUAAUGUCUGUUUACUCAUUGGGAUUGCAAAAUCUCACCCAACUCCUUUCCACCCAUUUCAGGUUCAGUAUAGACUGUAGAUAGCUGAUCUCAUCGAGGACUACCAUUGGAUCUGCAUUUUCCAAAUCGUAGGUUCACAGUCCUCUUUACUUUUGUUUAUUCGGGGGCUCUCUUGUUAUUGUAAAUUAAAUUAAAUAUUUUGGCUUACUGCAUUUUAGUAUGUAUAAAUUUAUUUAGCUUUUACGCUAUAAAAAUUAUUCAUGUAUAACUCUAUAAAUAUUGUUUUAUAAGAAAAUAGAAUAUUUUCCUUAAUAUUUUUUUUAUUUUCUUAUUAUAUUCAAAUAACCGUAAUUUUGUUUUAAAUGAAGAUUUUAGACUUUUAAACUCAUUUUUAAUAUGAAUUUUGUGUUUUGUACUUGUAUAUUACAUUUUAGCCAAUUUCGAAAUUUUUGAGAAAAAAAUGACCAAAAUACUCCUAUGUGGCGAAAAUUUUAUUUUGAUUGUUUUUUAUCUAAAAUAGUGUAUAUUAUCUAAAAACUUGAUAUUUAACAACGAUUGCUCACAGGAAAGGAAAGAAACUGAUAUGUAAGCCUUGCGGGGUUCCGGUUGGCAUUCCAGAUAAUGAGUGUCAAUCAGGGACGUUGCGGCGAUUGUCAUGGGCCUGAGGGAGGUUCCGGGUCGUGACAUUAUUUCUAUUCCCUUACCAGUAGUAGUAUCAUUUAAUCAACCCGUGUCACCCUCGUUCUCUAAACAUUUGAAACACAAUUCAACCUUUGCUUACCCUUACCAAGCACAUUACCUUGAUAAUUACUCAAAAUAAAUUGGAACUUGUGAGGGAAGCACAUUUAACAAUUUAUGCCUUACGUCUAUAAUUAUAUCAAGACCAGAACCUCAUCAAGUCCACAAAACAGUAGGAUAAUCAUUGCCUCAAACCAGCAUUUCCAAGUAUACUUAUGCUUGUAUCAUAUCUUCAUACUUAUGUGACAUAUCAGUCACGAGCCCAACUUGACUAUAUAGCCAUUUGCUCUUUGAGCUUUAAUGUUGUCUCACUGUGAAAAAUCUUUCGAAUUUAUCUCAUCAGUGUAUUCACAAGGUGGAUACAUGUCCAUAACUUACAGCUCAAGGCCUAAAGCAUUGAACACAAUCUCAUCAUUGAUGUUUUACGCUAUAUCAUAAAAUACAAAAUGUAAUCUAAUAACUAUGACAGUGAAAUUCUAAAGUUCUAGCUUUAUCUACCAAUCAUAGCUCCCUUUUUUAGCACAUACUUUACACUGCUUGAUUGUUCACAAGCCACUGAUAGCCAUCCAAAUUUGACCUCUUAUAGCAAGUCAAACUAGUAUAUUAUUCUUAUGUUUUCCAAUACACUUCCAAAAUGCUUAAACACUUCCUUUAAUAGGGUUCCAUUGAGAACUUAAUCAAUCAAAGACUUAUCUUCAAAGCCACUCAUAACUUUAAUCGUUCAUUGUAUGCUUGAUAACACUUUAGCUCACUGACCCACUGAACAUUAUUUUAAAAUCUCCCAAGGUGUCUGUACUCUUAGUUCGGAUCAUACCAUUUAACUUAGUAUAAUUGCAUUAAUUAUCCUUAAGCUCUUUAUGCUCAGCAUAUCAACAUCCAUAUUUCCCCCUCAUUCAUGUUAUUGACCUUGUUAAGGUAUAUAUGUGGCUUUUCAACCUUUCACAAUACAUUCCACAUUUAUGCCAGGGCAUUCUCAAUCUCAUGCCAAGCCUAUAGUCAUGUAAUCACCAAUUAGGCCAAAUCCUUCUAUGGAAUAUCUCUUUCCACACGAUGAAUGCGAAUCACAAGAUAUACAACUUUGAGUGUAUGCUUACAUAUUGGUAACCUCCAUAUAUUUCAUGGUCAUAAAACCACAAUUUGCAAAACUAGCUUCCUAUCACAAGUUUGCGAUUGGAACAAUAGUCUCCACAUAUCUCACUUUGGACAUACUUCACUAUUAACAUUCAUAUACCUUUACCACAACAUUCAGUGCAAAUUGAUUAAGCAAUGAUCUCCAAAUUUACUCUUAGAUACACAUAUAUCAAAUUGUACACCACUUAGUGUUGAGAUCUUGACUUUACUCAUCAACUUUUAACCAAUUACAUCCAUAAGAUAAAUAAUUCACUAAAUUUUUAUAUUUUGCUUUUGCAGUCAUAAGAUCAAAAUUUCUUAAGCUUAUGAUGCAGAAGCUUCCUCUUAGAGUAUAUCCGAAAAUCCACAUGUUUUAAGUCCCUUACCCUUGGAGAAGUCACCUUCAAGACUAAUCAUUUACAUCAUAGGUUGCAUAUUGAACCAAACAUAUUUUUAAAUUGACCUUUAAAGCAAUUCGUAUAUCGAUCUUCAUAUAGAACUCCAUAUGGCACUUCUACUAAAUUUGUCAUUUCCAUGUCAUUUAAUUUCAAACUACUAAAUCCACAUCUAGUCCUUUAAUCCUUUGACCUCACGCAUAGCAUAACAAAGUUUAUGCUCUUCCUUAGAGAAGAUUUGUUUACAUACCUCUCACUUGAUGACCACACAUCAAUUAUAAUAGUCAGUGAAUUUCACCCUUAAGCUAAUUCAUGUACUUAUAACUAUAAACCAUAAUAUUUCAAAUCAAACCUUGGGAUCUUGCAAUUACUUAAUUGAAAUCAAAACCAACUCCUUUUAUAUAUGGCAUAACAAGCUCGAUUAACCUAGUGCACUUACUUCUGUGCACAUAAGUAUUGGCUUACUCUUACUGUCACGACCUGAUUUUCAAGCCGUGACCGACGCAUGGACUCAAUGGACAUAGUCCAUUUAGCCCAAGCAAGCCUAUCUAUAUUAUCCUACUCAUUAUUCCAUCAAAGUUACUAAAGUCACAUUUCGUAAUUUUGAACCAAAAUAAUGCUAACCAUUUUCGACUCUCAGUGACAUGCCAAUCCAAAUAUACAUACAUUGUCUAAAAUAUAUGUCUUAACAAUUUACAUCAGGUUCGACCAUACAUAUCAAAAAGAAGACUAGAUUUUCAGUAGAGAGACUCAGAUGAAUGUACAACUAUUGAAUGCCAAGACACCUACCAACAGUCGAAUAUACAAAGACACCUCGACCUAGUUACCAGCUGCCUCUUGAUCUGAAAACAUGAAGUUGAAAACGAUGAGUAUAAACCCAGUGAGUGAACAUAUGAAGGGAACAAGCAAUAUAAUAAGAAAAAGUUUGAAAUCAUAAUGCACUUAUUUGAAAACGAUGCACUUUAACUUAAGUCCUUAUUAAACGUCACGACCCAGAACCAUCCUUGAGUCCGUGACAAUCGCCGCGAUGUCUCGAUAGGCACUCAUCCCUCGAAUACCAUAUCGAGACGUCGCAAGGCUUUCGUAUCAAUUUCUUAUCUCCCCUAUGGUUAAUCGUUGCCAAAUGUCGUCUUUUAGAGGCUUUAAAGCUUUUUUCCGAUUUAAAACUGUGAAAAAAUAAAUUUCACUUCACCGGGGCAUUUUGGUCAUUUUUCAUCAAAAAUUUCAAAUUCGACCAAAAUGUAGUACUUAAGCGAGAAAUGCAUAUUUCGAAAUCGAAAUUAAAUUUGAAUGUCUAAAACGUGAUUUAAAAUGGAAUUAUAACCAUUUAAAUAAAAUAAAAAUAUUCGACAAAAUAUUCUAUUUUCUUACAAAUUAAUAUUUAUAGAGUAUUCUGAAAAUGAUUUUUAGUAGCGUAAAAGUUAAAUAUAUUUAUACAAACUAUAAUACGGAAAACCAAAGUAUGAAAUUUAAUUUACAGUGCUACGUGGGCCCACAAAUGAACAAAAGUAGUAAAGACAGUAAACCUACAGUUUUUGAAGUAGUAUGGCCAACUAUAGUUCUCGACGAUGUCUGCUAUCUACAGGCUAACCCGACCUGAAAUGAUGGGAUAAAAAAAAGGGUGAGAUUAUAAAAUCUCAAUGAGUAAACAAACACCAUUUAAAUAAUCUAAAGGCGAGUAAAGAGAGACAAUUAAAAAUAAUUCAUUUCAGCAAAUUUUUCACAACACGAAUAUUCAUUUCAACCAAAUAAUCAAUAUGACUCGUGAAUUUCUCAAAACUUGGCUCAUGCCAAAUCCUGUACUCGGGGACACCUGGACCAGGGGUAUCCAACCAAGUCCGCCAAGGUUGUAAAAAAUUUUAUAUAAUCAUAAAACUUGUUUUUAUUUUGAAAAAAACAGUCAUUCCUUGGCGUUGACUAGGUCUCACUUCACGUGGUGGUUAACGUGAAGUGCACUCAAAAAGCCCACCUUAGGAGAUACCCUACGCACCUCUACGACCGAGGUGAGAAUAUAUUGGGGUUCACCGUGCCCCUCUAAUAGGUUAGUCCACGAAACCCCGCCACUACAGUAGCUAAUCUUUAAUCCACCAAUUGAUCAAAUUUCAAUGGCAUAACAUGGCAAUUACAUUACUAACCAAUUUAUCAAGGCAAAACAGACAGUUCAUAUUUUUCAACACAAGUAUAAAUUCAGCCAAUCAUGCCAAUUUAUCACAAGCCAUUUAAUUCAAAUCAUAAUUUACAAUAAAUCACAUGGUCUCCAAUUACUCAAAUUUUCAAAUCCAACAUUCUAUUUUCAAAUCAAUUUAUAAAAAAUUCAAUUUAUUUUAUAAUUCCAUUUAUUUUAUAAAUUCAUAUUUUUCUCAUAAAACAAGAAAUUCAUCAUUUAAAAUAAUUUUCACAAAUCACAAAAUUGAAUAAAAACUACUCUAGAUAAUUCAGACGAUAAUAGGUUUACUCACAGGUUUCAAAAGUUCAGAUUUCGGGUGUACUUAGCUUAGUGAUCCCCAGGCGUAAUUUCCUUGCCUUUGUCGAAGGGCACACCACCUUGACACAGUAUAAAAUCAAGGAAUUUACUACGUUGCCCUUAAAUUGAAAUAACUAAUUUAGAUCACUAAUGCAUGGUAUGAAAUGCAAAAGGUCUAAAUUUUGCCUAAACACCGUAUUGACCUAUUUCGGUCUUUUACCCGAUAAAUUGAAAUACGCAUCUAAUUUAGCUCCAAUUGAUCCCAUUUCUUUUUCUAAUGCUUCAAAUCACCAAUGUCCAGCCAAAUAACCCAAAAAUCAGCAAAGCCACAUUCAUAUUCCUUCUUGGAAAAAUUCAGCCAAAAUGGUGCAUCAUUGUCACAAUUUUUCCUACUUGAUUUUCUUUCCAUAAUUCAUUAAUUUCCAUAUCAAAAACCAUGAUUUCAUAAUCAAAUAACCUAAAAUAACAUCACAUUCUUCCUCACCAUUGACUUGAAAAUUCAGCUAAGGCUAGGUAAUGGGAAAAAUGAAUGUUUUUCUACAUAUUUUGUUUACUAACAUGCUAAACUAACACUAAACACUAACAUAUAUCAAAAUCAAAUCAAUCCAACAAUUUUCUCUCUCUAGACCCAUAUGACCAGCCAUGAAAUCACCAUGAAAACAUGCAAUUUAAUCAUGGAAAAUAAGGAGAAAUGCUUGGGAAUAAGAAAACUCAAGCUUAAUUGAAAAAAUCUUACCUUUUUCACGUAAUUUCCUUGAAAAUUCAUACUUUUUCUUUGAUUUUCUCUCUCUAAGGUUUGGUUUUUGUUUUCUCUCUCUUCUUGCUGGUUUGGCC
rnacentral:lncRNA from 1 species